UCAGUCGACUCCUACGGGGAGGCAGCAGUGGGGGAAUAUUGCACAAUGGGCGCAAGCCUGAUGCAGCCAUGCCGCGUGUAUGAAGAAGGCCUUCGGGUUGUAAAGUACUUUCAGCAGUGAGGAAGGUGGGUAUGUUAAUAGCAUAUUCAUUUGACGUUAGCUGCAGAAGAAAGCACCGGCUAACUCCGUGCCAGCAGCCGCGGUAAUACGGAGGGUGCGAGCGUUAAUCGGAAUUACUGGGCGUAAAGCGCAUGCAGGUGGUUUGUUAAGUCAGAUGUGAAAGCCCGGGGCUCAACCUCGGAAUUGCAUUUGAAACUGGCAAACUAGAGUACUGUAGAGGGGGGUAGGAAUUUCAGGUGUAGCGGUGAAAUGCGUAGAGAUCUGAAGGAAUACCGGUGGCGAAGGCGGCCCCCUCGGACAGAUACUGACACUCAGAUGCGAAAGCGUGGGGAGCAAACAGGAUUAGAUACCCUGGUAG
rnacentral:rRNA from 1 species